rnacentral:rRNA from 1 species
UGGGGAAUUUUGGACAAUGGGGGAAACCCUGAUCCAGCCAUUCCGCGUGAGUGAAGAAGGCCUUCGGGUUGUAAAGCUCUUUUGUCCGGAGCGAAACGGUUACGGUGAAUAUCCGUGACUACUGACGGUACCGGAAGAAUAAGCACCGGCUAACUACGUGCCAGCAGCCGCGGUAAUACGUAGGGUGCGAGCGUUAAUCGGAAUUACUGGGCGUAAAGCGUGCGCAGGCGGUUUUGUAAGCCAGAUGUGAAAUCCCCGGGCUUAACCUGGGAAUGGCAUUUGGGACUGCAAGGCUUGAGUAUGGCAGAGGGGGCUAGAAUUCCUGGUGUAGCAGUGAAAUGCGUAGAUAUCAGGAGGAAUACCGAUGGCGAAGGCAGGCCCCUGGGUUAAUACUGACGCUCAUGCACGAAAGCGUGGGGAGCAAACAGGAUUAGAUACCCUGGUAGUCCACGCCCUAAACGAUGUCGACUGGUUGUUGGGGGUUUGACACUCUCAGUAACGAAGCUAACGCGUGAAGUCGACCGCCUGGGGAGUACGGCCGCAAGGUUA